CUAGCACAGUGUUGAUGUUCAAUAACUGUUGAAUGAAGGUUGGAAGGGCUUUGCCCUGAGCACUGAGGAGAGAGAGCUGGUUGCGUGGGACUUGAAGUCUGUCUCAGUUUCUUUAGGUGGGACUGAUGCCCUUGGCCUUCCUCCAGGGAAGGCAUCCAGCAUCCAGAGGUAAGGAUUCUCCUGUGGACCUUGUGACCUCUGACUCCUCCCCCUUCUUCCCCCAGAGUUCAAGGAGGCCUUCUCCCUCUUUGACAAGGAUGGAGAUGGCACUAUCACCACCAAGGAGUUGGGGACAGUGAUGAGAUCCCUGGGACAGAACCCCACUGAAGCAGAGCUGCAGGAUAUGAUCAAUGAGGUGGAUGCAGAUGGGAACGGGACCAUUGACUUCCCGGAGUUCCUGACCAUGAUGGCCAGAAAGAUGAAGGACACAGACAGUGAGGAGGAGAUCCGAGAGGCGUUCCGUGUCUUUGACAAGGAUGGGAAUGGCUACAUCAGCGCCGCAGAGCUGCGUCACGUAAUGACGAACCUGGGGGAGAAGCUGACCGAUGAGGAGGUGGAUGAGAUGAUCAGGGAGGCUGACAUCGAUGGAGAUGGCCAGGUCAAUUAUGAAGAGUUUGUACAGAUGAUGACUGCAAAGUGAAGGCCCCCCGGGCAGCUGGCGAUGCCCGUUCUCUUGAUCUCUCUCUUCUCGCGCGCGCACUCUCUCUUCAACACUCCCCUG
rnacentral:sRNA from 1 species